rnacentral:rRNA from 1 species
UACGUAGGGGGCAAGCGUUGUCCGGAAUCAUUGGGCGUAAAGAGCGCGUAGGCGGCCCAGUAAGUCCGCUCUGAAAGUCAGAGGCUCAACCUCCGAAUGCGGGUGGAUACUGCUGGGCUAGAGUCCGGAAGAGGCGAGUGGAAUUCCUGGUGUAGCGGUGAAAUGCGCAGAUAUCAGGAGGAACACCAAUGGCGAAGGCAGCUCGCUGGGACGGUACUGACGCUGAGACGCGAAAGCGUGGGGAGCGAACAGG